UUGCAAAUGUACGUGAUUAAAUCAACUAAGAACACGGCUGUAAUUAAGUAGUAAAGGUGUUUACGCUUGCAGCGAUAGUUUCAAUAUGGACUUAUAUAAUUAUUGGAACUUCGAUUAUAGCAUUUCGCACACAGCUAUAUUCCCUAAUAAGCACGAUUACUGUGGCAAUGUGGGCCGGUUUCCACUUCAUCCAGCUGGCAGUAUUGUCUAUAAUGAACGAUACAUUUAUGAAAGAAGUCAAGAAUACAAAACUGCUUUGUAUACGCAUCUUGUCAUACAGUUUCGAUGAUGCAGUAAUGAAGAUAGCGAGCAAAAUUCUUCGAGAGUUCAAAUAUUCACCGCCGACAUUUUCUGUCUACGGCAUAUUUAUCUUAGAUACAAGAAUUACACUGCACUUGUUGAGCCUUGUUACAGCCAAUAUAAUGAUUGUAAUACAGUUUUCGUACUAAUUAACCACCGAUGCUUACAUCUAGAUACUAGACCUUUUGUCCUUAAACUUAUAUUUUAUUUUUAAUAUAAGUACUAUUUCGCAAAAUUUAUCAAGCAUAAUUCUAAUUUCUUUUUCCCUUUUAUUAAUUCGAUAAAAUGAGAAUUUUUUUUCGGGUAUAACGGUAAACUAUUGGUAUAUACGUAACCUAUAGUUUAUUAUGUAGUAUAGAAAUAUUUAUAAAGAAGUCGAGGGUAGUGCGACCCGCCUGUUCUCGAUCUACCGUUUUAAUAAAAAUCAGUCUCGUUU